GAUGAACGCUAGCUACAGGCUUAACACAUGCAAGUCGAGGGGUCUUGACGGAGCUUGCUCUUGAUAGACGACCGGCGCCCGGGUGAGUAACGCGUAUCCAACCUGCCCUUUAUAUUGGGAUAGCCUUCCGAAAGGGCGAUUAAUACCGAAUAACAUAGCAAGAUUGCAUGAUAUUGAUAUGAAAGAUCCGUCGAUGAAGGAUGGGGAUGCGUUUCAUUAGGUAGUAGGCGGGGUAACGGCCCACCUAGCCAACGAUGAAUAGGGGUUCUGAGAGGAAGGUCCCCCACACUGGAACUGAGACACGGUCCAGACUCGUACGGGAGGCAGCAGUGAGGAUUAUUGGUCAAUGGGCGCAAGCCUGGACCAGCCAAGUAGCGUUAAGGAUGACUGCCCUAUCGGUUGUAAACUUCUUUUUUACGGGAACAAAUGUUGCUUCGUGUAGCAAUUUGCGUUUACCGUACGAAUAAGCAUCGGCUAACUCCGUGCCAGCCGCCGCCGUAAAAC
rnacentral:rRNA from 1 species